rnacentral:lncRNA from 1 species
CCCAGGGCAGGAGGAGGACGCCAUAAAAUGCUGCACUUCUGUUUGAGGUUCCCUAACCCAGCUGCAGCGCUCCGCGGAGCUUCUCGGGUGGCUGGGCCGCUUUGAAGGUUUACUUUCAAUUAAAAAAAAAAAUAAAGUAAAAUAAAAUAAGAAGAAAAGAAGCCAAAUCAGCAGCUGUCAGGGACGCGGGGAAGAUUUAUUCAGGGCGGUCAAAGGGGAGCGUGGCCGGCAGUCAGGGCUGCAGGCCAACUGAAGCCAAUACUUAGGAACCAACAGUCUAAGGAAUGUUCUGACAAUGAUACCAGUGGUGUUGGCCUAAAUUUAAAAUGAGCUAAGGUUUUAGCCAACAUGGAAGUUGGAAGAAGAGGGCAGGAAGGAAAAAAAAGGAAAGCUGUCCUUUCAACCAGAUGGUAAUCUUGUCUGCCCCUUACUCUCUCAACCAGUAAUCACUGAGCCUCCCAAAUAACUGCACUGAGGACCUUUGAGAGCUGCAGUUACCUGCCCUUCCCACCCCACAUUUCCUUCUUUUCUGGGAUCAGGAACAUAAAUA